GACGAACGCUGGCGGCGUGCUUAACACAUGCAAGUCGAACGGAAAGGCCCUGCUUUUGGGGGGUGCUCGAUUGGCGAACGGGGGAGAAACACGUGAGUAACCUCCCCUUGACUUUGGGAUAACUUCAGGAAACUGGGGCUAAUACCGGAUAGGAUCUCCUGCUGCAUGGUGGGGGUUGGAAAGUUUCGGCGGUUGGGGAUGGACUCGCGGCUUAUCAGCUUGUUGGUGGGGUAGUGGCUUACCAGGGCUUUGACGGGUAGCCGGCCUGAGAGGGUGACCGGCCACAUUGGGACUGAGAUACGGACCAGACUCCUACGGGAGGCAGCAGUGGGGAAUAUUGCACAAUGGGCGGAAGCCUGACGCAGCAACGCCGCGUGCGGGAUGACGGCCUUCGGGUUGUAAACCGCUUUCGCCUGUGACGAAGCGUGAGUGACGGUAAUGGGUAAAGAAGCACCGGCUAACUACGUG
rnacentral:rRNA from 1 species